rnacentral:misc_RNA from 1 species
ACUGAUUUUUCUGCAUUUCCAUAAUUUCUGCCUGUUUUCUCUGCAACUCUUGGUUCAGUUCUCUAAGUUUUGCAACCUCUGCUUCUAGCUCCAAUGUAUAGGCCUGCAUGCGAGCCCUUGACCUUGCAGCAGACUCUCUAUUUUUUAUCAUUCUCCGAUGUCUUCUCUCAAUUACCUUCUCCAAAGCUGCACUGGCUUUUCUUCCCCGGCCAAACAUAAUAGGAACUGGUGAAAGUGAAGAAGGCGUAUCUGCAUUAUUUUUUGUGAUCAUAUCUGGUGAUAUCUGAUUUGCAGGAGCUGGUGUUACAACUGUAACAGCCCCAGCACCUAAACCAACCAUUCCCAUUCCUCCACCAUGAACUAAAUUAUUGUUUAUCGAUGUAUCUGCAAUCCCAACAACUGAACUCCUCACUCCUGGUUUGGCAAGCUGAGCACUGCUCACUAAAUGCAUAGGUGAUGCAAAAGCCGCAUUUGUGGGCAUGGGGAAGAGUGGUUGCUGCUGCUGGGGUUGGUUCUGAUGCUG